rnacentral:rRNA from 1 species
UACGUAGGGAGCAAGCGUUAUCCGGAUUUAUUGGGUGUAAAGGGUGCGUAGACGGAUUUGCAAGUUGGCUGUGAAAUCCCGAGGCUUAACUUCGGAAUUGCAACCAAAACUACAAGUCUUGAGUACUGGAGGGGAAUGCGGAAUUCCUAGUGUAGCGGUGAAAUGCGUAGAUAUUAGGAAGAACACCGGUGGCGAAGGCGGCAUUCUGGACAGUAACUGACGUUGAGGCACGAAAGUGUGGGGAGCAAACAGG